CUAUGAUGCACCUUCUGGAAACUACUUUUCAACUAACUGGUAUUAUCAACAACUGCCUCUCAAUCUACAGUGUCUAGCCAUGAGUGAAUCCAUGUUUUCCGUCUGUCUCCUACUUGUUUCUUAAACCCUGGCUCACAGGUGGAAGGGAUUUGCCCUGUCUCAGAUGACACUUUGGACUAGGACUUUUGGGUUAAUGCUGGAAUGAGUGAAGACUUUGGGAGACUGUUGAAAAGGCAUGGUUGUGUUUUGAAAUGUGCUACAGUCUCAUCUUGUGUUUUCCUGUCUGUCUUGACUCAGCAAGAGAAUAACUCCAAGGAACCCUGGUUGCUUCACUGGAGAAUGAUACUAGAAAGCAAGAGCUGGACACUACGUUUGCUCAUUGCUGUGGGGUGUUGUUUCUUCUUCCCCAGCUUGGCUGACAAAGGAAGGAUAGAUGUGUGCAUAAUAACCCUUGCAGAUAUCUAAAUAUUUCUAUAUGUAACAAUCAGUAUUUCUAUUAAGCUAAAAAUAAGUUCAUAGUGUUGCCCAUCUAACUCAUUAUUCUAGUCUCCUCCCCUUGCUUAACUGUAAACUCCCCCUCCAACAGUGACAAACCUGACUCUCAUCAUAUGUCAUCUAUUUACUGAAUUGUCCAAUUCUGAUAUACAUGUGUGAAAAUAUUACAAUUGUUAACCCAUAUGACCAUGGUAAAGAACUUUAUCAACUAAAGCAUAAUGCUUCUGUGCAGUUCCUUUUGUCUUUAGUCUUACAAACUCCAUUCACUGCCAAAGUUACUUAGGUCUGCUACUUAUUCCCCCACCUUCUUCAGUGAGAUUGUUUCAUACAUUUUUUAAUAUAGUUAGAUGGUCUUGUUACAUUCUGCAGUCCAUCCUGUGAUUCCCCUGACCUCAUAAAUGAUGUCUUCAAAUUUGCAUUAUUUGAGACGAAUUUCUUGUGCUAUAACAUUCACUGGAUUUUGAAAAAAAAGAAUAGUGUCAUGUAUCCACAAUUACAGUAUCAUGUCUAUUAGAUUUUGGGUGCUAAACAAUUCCCUGUGCUUUAUUCCACUCUCUUCAUCGCCUUGCAAUCCUCUGGUAACUACUUAUUUGUUUACUGUCUCUAUAGUUUUGCCUUUUAUACAAUAUCAUAUAUUUAUAGCCUUCUCAGACUAGUUUCUUUAAUUUACAAAUAUGCAUUUAGGGUUCAUCCAUGUCUUUUUAUGGCAUAAUAGCUAAUUUCUCUUUUUUUGCUGUAUAAUAUUUCAAUGUAUGUAUAUACCAUAGUUUGUCCAUUCACCUAUUGCAUGACAUUUUGGCUGCUUCUAGUUUGGAUGGUUAUGAAUAAAGCUGCUAUAAACAUGCACUUGCAAAUUUUUAUGUGGACAUCAAUUUUCAAGUCAUUUGUGUAAAUAACUAGGAACGUAAUUGCUGGAUCAUAUGCUAGGACUAUGUUCAGCUUUAUAAGAAACUUCAAACUGUCUUCCAGAGUGACUAUACCAUUUUGUAUUCCCAC
rnacentral:lncRNA from 10 species